GACGAACGCUGGCGGCGUGCUUGACACAUGCAAGUCGAGCGAUGAAGCACCUUCGGGUGUGAAUUAGCGGCGAACGGGUGAGGAACACGUGGGAAAUCUGCCUUCAACACUGGGAUAACUCCGGGAAACCGGGGCUAAUACAGGAUAUGAAACCUGCGGGCAUCCGCGGGUUUGGAAAGUUUUUCGGUUGAAGAUGAUCCCGCGGUCUAUCAGCUGGUUGGUGAGGUAAUGGCUACCCAAGGCGACGACGGGUAGCCGGCCUGAGAGGGCGACCGGCCACACUGGGACUGAGACACGGCCCAGACUCCUACGGGAGGCAGCAGUGGGGAAUAUUGGGCAAUGGAGGAAACUCUGACCCAGCGACGCCGCGUGCGGGAUGAAGGCCUUCGGGUUGUAAACCGCUUUCAGCAGGGAAGAAGCGAAAGUGACGGUACCUGCAGAAGAAGCACCGGCUAACUAUGUGCCAGCCGCCGCCGUAA
rnacentral:rRNA from 1 species